rnacentral:lncRNA from 1 species
GCCUUGCCGGAUUUCGGUCAAGGUCCAUUCAUAGCUUUUCGAAUUUUAUUUUCGCACCCGACGCGUACCGAAAACGCCCGAAUGCUCCCGAACUUCACCGGAACCACACUAAUGGCUUUCCAAACUAACAUACACCGUAACUUCAUAAUUAUAGAAGUUCAGUAUGCUACACUAGACCUCCACCAGCUUCCUUACGUACAGGGACUCUUUCAUCUUCUUCUCUUUUCAUUUCUUUCUCCUUUUAUUUCUUUCUCCUUCUCUCUCUAAACCUAUGAAGAGUGGAUUUUGAGAAGGAAAAGUAUGUGGAGUUGUUGUUAUUGGGUUGUGAGGAGGUUCAUAGGCUGGGUGGAAUCUGGUGGAGUACAACCCGAGGUAAGUUGGUGAUGUCUCUUUGUUAGGGAUUGUUUUAAUU